rnacentral:rRNA from 1 species
AUUGAACGCUGGCGGCAUGCCUUACACAUGCAAGUCGAACGGUAACGCGGGGGCAACCCUGGCGACGAGUGGCGAACGGGUGAGUAAUACAUCGGAACGUGUCCUGUUGUGGGGGGAUAACCCAUCGAAAGGUGAGCUAAUACCGCAUGAUCUGGAGACAGCAAAGCAGGGGACCGGUAACGGCCUUGCGCGAUUGGAGCGGCCGAUGUCCGAUUAGCUAGUUGGUGGGGUAAAGGCCCACCAAGGCAACGAUCGGUAGCUGGUCUGAGAGGAUGAUCAGCCACACUGGGACUGAGACACGGCCCAGACUCCUACGGGAGGCAGCAGUGGGGAAUUUUGGACAAUGGGGCAACCCUGAUCCAGCCAUGCCGCGUGAGUGAAGAAGGCCU